rnacentral:lncRNA from 7 species
AUUCACUUAUUCAACCCAUUGAGCAAACCAGCGUGAGAGGCUGCACAUCAGUAUUCAAGACGCAAAACGAGUUUCUAGACUGUUCCCAGGCAUAACCUUCACCAAUGUUAUAUGGAGAUCUUCAUGCAAACUUAUCAGCUUUGAAAAGGGACGAUGAGCUGUUAUGAAUUGUUCUGUACUGGAAGGAGGAAGAGGCCUGUGGCAGAACUACACAGACAAAAGCUUUCCUUUGGAGCUUACCAGUUUGACUAGGACUGAAUUGUGGCAAAGGCCUGGGGGAAAAACCCUUUCAAAUAAGUCUAACAUGUGCAUCUCAGGAAAAGCUUGAUGGAACCUAGCAGUGUGAAGAUUGAAUAGCCUGGUCAAAAAAAGACGAAGAUAAAGGAAUGAUAGAGAAGUAGUCUGAGUAAUUCCUCUGGAGGAUGUUUCGAGUUAUAUUUGCUGAAGGCUGUUUCAUCUUCCUGGCAAUCUUGAUUGAAAUAAAGUUGUACAUACUAUAUUU